UACAGAGGUCUCAAGCGUUUGUUCGGAUUCAUUGGGCGUAAAAGGGUGCGUAGGCGGCGCGGUAAGUCGGGUGUGAAAUCUCGGAGCUUAACUCCGAAACUGCAUUCGAUACUGCCGUGCUUGAGGACUGGAGAGGAGACUGGAAUUUACGGUGUAGCGGUGAAAUGCGUAGAUAUCGGUAAGGAAGACCAGUGGCCGAAGGCGGGUCGUCUGGACAGUCCUGACGCUGAGGCACGAAGGUCAGGGGAGCAAACGGG
rnacentral:rRNA from 1 species